rfam:Ovis aries breed Texel chromosome 14, whole genome shotgun sequence.
GCCUACGGCCGUACCACCCUGGACGCGCCCGAUCUCAUCUAUCUCGAAAGCUAAGCAGAGGUUGGUCCUGGUUAGUACUUGGAUGGGAAGGCAGUCACACUGCUAGUGAGUGGCAGAGCUGGGAUUC